rnacentral:lncRNA from 1 species
UCUGUCACCACCGGGUGGCGACAGAGAGCACGCCGGGAAAAAACUUCCUCCAAGGGGUCGGAUUGCCCAAUUUCUUCUGUAGCUGUUUUCUGUCACAUAAUUGUCUACGAGUUUACCUCCAAAACUUAUUGAUUGCAUUCCCGUCUGUGUAUUUCUUCUUUGAGUCCUUUUUUGUCUGUGAUUUCUUUAUCUCUAAACUGUUUCUUUUCAGGUCUGUGUCCUCUUCUGCAAAACGAAUCUUACCGGAAAUUAGAUAAUGCUGCUGAUUUUGCUGGCUGUGCUUUUAGAAACUCAAGAUUUCUUGGCUUGCUUCGGAAAUGAGCUCAGCACCUCAGUUUUAAAGAAAAGAAUCUGAAAAUAGCUUCUUGUUCUCCUUGGUGUGCUCCAAUGGUUUUACUUCUGCUUUCCCCUAACCCGGCUCCUGGGCUCAGCGCUCUGCAAUCCAAUCUCACUGUGGACUCCUGUCUCAUCUCUGUGCCUCUGAGGCACCUGUCUGGUGUGAUAAUAGAAUGAGUGGAGUACGGGUCCUCUUAACGACUGACUUGUUCCAGAACCUCAGAACUGAAGUUUGCCAAAAGCUAUGAUGCCAGGCAGACAUCGGCAAUACUCUUUUCCCGUCCCUCGUAAUGAAUAAGAAGCCUUCUGCAGUCUGUGGCGCUGAGGCACAGGCCUGGUUUCUGCCUUCCAUCCGAUCCAAAGCAAUUCCAGAUUCUUCCAGGAUGUUUUUUAGGCACAGGCAUCGGAACUGCAGGCAUGCCCGUAUCUCUUCAACCAUGCCUGUGCUUCCAGCCACAGUUGUGGCAUUGCACUUUCAUGCCAUUCCUGCUUCACCGAAAUGCUGCUCUCAUUUCACUCUUCACCGUUGGAGUCCAUGUCUAUUAAUGGUGUAUGUCUGCAGCGGAGUGAGUGCUACAAAAGAUGGACUCUACCUAUAAUCAUGGCCCAAACUGGAAUACCUUUUAUUACUAUCCUCUAGCUCCUGAAAGGAAACCCCAGGCCGUGAAAUUCAAGCUGCAGCUGAGUAAGGGUGCUUCUCUGCCAUUCGGUAUUCCUCAGGUGAUAGCCCAAAAACUUAGAAUACCCAAGAUACAAGAUACAAUUUGCAAAACACAUGAAACUCAAGAAGAACGAAGACCAAAGUGUGGACACUUUGCCCCUUCUCAGAACUGGGAACAAAACACCCAUGGAAGGAGUUACAGAGACGGAGUUUGGAGCUGAGAUGAAAGGUGGACCAUCUAGAGACUGCCUUAUCCAGGGAUCCAUCCCAUAAUCAGCUUCCAAACGCUGACACCAUUGCAUACACUAGCAAGAUUUUAUCGAAAGGACCCAGAUAUAGCUGACGAAAUCCAGGCCCAUCCAUGUUCCUGAAAAUGUGAAGACUCCAUUCUUUUUAUGGCAGAAUACAAUUCCCAUAUGUGGAUAUACCAUAUUCUUAAAAUCCACUCUUCUGUCAAGGGAACUUUAGGUUGAUUCUAUAUCUUAGCUAUUGUAAAUAGUAUAGCAAUAAAUAUGGCUGAGCAAGUAUCUCUAUGUUAGGAUAUGGAGUCCUUUGGGUACAUGACCAGGAUUUGUAUAACUAGUUGUGUGUGUGUGUGUAUUUGUAUAACUAGUUGUGUGUGUGUGUGUGUGUGUGUACCCUUCAAACUGAGCUUCAUUGUGAAUACACUACUUUGCAUUGCCACCAGCAGUGUAUAAAGGUUCCUUUCACUUCUGUAUUCACACCAGCAUCUGUUGUUGUAUCUAAUAGGACUUUAGAAACAUUCUUUUUUUUUUUUUUUUUUUCCUCAUUGGACCAUGUCUGGCUGAAGUGAGUUAGCCACCUACAGGCUUUCAAAGCAGAACUUCCCGAUUCAUCCUGCCAAAAGGAUAUACUCAUUCGAGAGAUGGCUUCCUGUUGGUACACAGAAGGAACACUGAAGUAAGCCUGGGACAGGAUAAAGCCAAUGUGUCAGAGACAGGAAAUCUUACUUCUGAGUAUUCAGGGAGAAAGGAGCAUUGCUCAAUGCACUAGGAAUUCUACAAAAAUGGUUACCCCCCCCCUGAGAUUACACAGCCUAGGAACCAUGCUGGCCCUCAAUCAGUGCAAUUUUGAAACUGCACCGCUGCACCACUAAACAAUUACACUUUCCUUUUAAGGCUGUUAACCUUUCUGUCUGGUAGUUUUAAACACAGUUAUCUACACUGUAUAUUUGCCUAAGAGCAGUCUUUAUGGCAAAAUCAAAAGCUGGGUCAUUCCAUACUCAUUUAAAUUAAGGGAACCCAGAGAAAGGAGGCGACAUUCACAUAUGAUGUCCUGUAAGUGUGGUUAUUUGGACUCCAGAGCACUUGUCUCUGUAUAUCUGUAACUUUGAUUCUGCAUCUGAUUAUAAAGUGGAUAGUUUUAUUUAAAAAGCAUGGUCCGGCUCUCCCAUUUAACUCGAAAAAGAGACACACUAAAGGAGUUAAUUCCAAAGUGGAUAAAUUGAUAUUUUGGCCAGUAAGAUGAGGGCAUGAGGGGAAAGCUGCACUCACGUCAGCUCUGUGCCCCACUGUGCUCUGCCGACCAGGUGCAAAGAGAAAUAUGAGGAUCUGAGGGUGCUUUGGUUUUUAUUGCCAAAGGCAGCCGUGAUGAACAUUCCAGACCCUGGGGCAGAAGUUAGACAGAGCUGCCAGAAGGAACAAUGAAAGGGAUCCUAAUAGUUUAGUUUGUACAUAAAACCGAGCCAAGGAGAACUGAGUAAGCACAGACGGUAUUACUGUAAUACAUCUGAUAUGUUUACAUAGACGUUUUACUCUGCAACUCUCUCAUAGUGUGGCAGUUCUUUUGCACCUGUGUUCUGGGAAUUCUACAACUUGAACUGGAGAAAACAAUUUCACUAUAGUUUUGGCCAUAGAAGGGUUUAUGAAUGCUGACAAUGAUCCAAUUACGUUGUUAACCUUUUUGGGCUUUAUGCAUGAAUGGGAGUUUGCUGGUAUAGUUUAAUACGACCCAGAGUCCAACUCCAAAUAAUACCGCACAGCAACCUGACAAGGUGUCAAAUGGAGUGGGAAUCUAUCACUUCUCUUGAAGUAGCAAUGAACUAAAAAUCUCAAUACAACUUUAGAUACUACAGUUGCUCACUACAGGAUCUAGCUCAUCCAGAUUAUACACGUCCAAAUGAUGUAAGCAGCACGCAUGUGUGUGUGUGUGUAUGCUUAUGUGUAUGCUUCUCUGUGUGCAUUUGUGGUGUGUGUGUGUGUGUGUGUGUGUGUGUGUGUAUUUGAAUGCUGGCCUCUAUCCAAUGCUCUGGUCUGGAUGAUGCAAUUGCCAUUGUC